UGUGUUAAUAGUCCCAAUUUGCCAAUAAGAAACAAAAUUCCUAAACUUAGAAGUUAGGGUUUCAUGGAGAGUAACCCACCUCUUAGGUGCAAAAUCAAUUUCAAUCGCCUAAUCCUGGGAGCUAGGCCAGCAAGUGUUGACCCUUUAGCUUGUCCACACAAGCUCCAUAAUCAUAGCACCUCAAUCCAAGCAACGUUCUCUAAUUUCCAUUCCAAGUGAUUCAGCCAAAAACAAGAAAGGAAGAAGGAAGAGUUCUCUCUUGGUUCUAAGUUAUGGAAGCGAUGAGAAAAACUUUCUCAAAGUUGAUUCAGGAAUUCAACAACUUGAAUUGUCUUGAAUCUUGGCUUAAAGAGAAAAGAAAAACACUUCCUCUUAUGGAAGAUGUAUGGACGGG
rnacentral:misc_RNA from 1 species